UAAAAGUAGGAUGUAUACUAUCUCUGUGAGAUGAUUUUGUGAAGAAAAUAGAAUAUCCAAGAUUUUAACUCUUCUGCCAAUGACCUGUUUACAGAAUUAGAGGAGAUGGCACUGACUGGAGUGACAGAAGCGGUGCCAGUUCUCCCCACCAUCAAGAGUAUCUUCUGCUAUGCCUGACACAAGGUCCUCUUCUGGGUGCUUCAGAUACAACAGUGAGCAAUUUCUGCCUUUGUAUUACAUUUUCAAGACUGGGGGUCUUGGGAUGCAUCGCCCUGCAGAUAAGGGCAACUGCUGUGCAGCAUGAACAGUAUGGACACAACACUUACCUUCAUGGAGUUUAUAUUAGAGUAAGACAAGAGUGGGUUGCAAAGAUCACUGAACUGCAAGAUUUUAUUAUUGACUCUGCCAGUAACUCCUCUAAAGACCUUAGAGAAGACGCUUAACCUCUGUAAAAUGAAGAGACUAUUCCAGCAUCAUUUAGUGAACAGUGACCUGCAAGACAAUCUUGCUGAAAUUGCUUUGAAUCUGAACAUCAAAGGGGGAGAACUGCAUUACAUGAAUCUUCAUACAUAUAGAUGUGUUUUAUUUUUCUAUUUAUAUCUUAAAAAUUUUAAAUAAAUUUCCCAAUACAAAUACUGCAUGUAUUUUGUUAGAUUCAUUCAGAUCCUAUGCAUUUUUCUUCCUAAUACAUAAGGCAUAUUUUUUAAAAAAUGUUUUCUGUUUGUUGCCAAAGAAUAGAAAUGCAAUUGAUUUUUGAAUAUUAAACAUAUCUAGCCAUGGUAUUGAAUUCUUCUAAUUUCUAAUAAUUUUUGUCUGUCAAUUAUUUUAUUCUUUCUAGGUAAAUAUUGAUACUAUAAUAAAUUUUGCUUCCUUCAGUUUCUUUCCUUUUCCUAUUAUUUACUUUUCUUGCAUUACUAGGCUAGUUUGGACCUUUAAUAAAAUGUGAAAAAGCACAUUUAUCUUUAUCUUGAUUUUAUACAGAACACUCUAAAUACCUUAUCAUCAGUAAGACUAAUGACUGCUGAAGAAUUUUACUGGGUUAAGAAAACUGUUAUUUAUAUUGUGUUAAAUGUUUUCAUUAUAAAUGGGUGUUCAAUUUUAUCAAUUUUAUUUUCUGCAUCUAAUGGGAUGAUCAUAAGAUAUUUUUCUCUUUUAAUCUGUUAGUGUGAUAAUUUACAUUCUUGGAUUUUCCAGAAACAUCUUUGGAUUCCUAGAAUAAGUCAGAUUUAUCACAAGUGGAUUAUCUUUAUCAUAUAGAUGGCUGUUCUUGAGUUACUAAUCUUUUAUACUUUUGCAUGUAAGGAAUGUUUUUAAUCUAAGUGAAAUUUUGAAUCUAUGCUUGCAAGUAAGAAUAUCCUUUUUCAUACUAUCCUUAUCUGGCCUUAGUACUGAGCUUUAGAUUAUCUUGGAGGUUCCAUUUCCCUUCCUGUAAUGAUUCUCAUGCCUCAUGGCACAUACAAAGUUCUCCUUUGUAAAUUUCAGCAUGAGCUCAAUUCAAUAAUUACCUUGCCACCAAAAACUGUAGUCUCCCAUUAAACAGUGAAUUUGCUUCUAUUGACGUUAAACUCUAAAGUGAAUCACUUAGAUCUAAAAAUACCUUGUUUGGGUUGUGUGUAAUAAAUACUUAUUUUUGCCAAAGAUAUACAGAGCUAAAAACAGAAAAUCAUACCUAGGGAGGCUUAAAAACAUGUAAGCUGAACACUUAGUUAAAUCUCAACUUUUCCCUCCUUAGAUUUUUUGUUUCUUUGAUAUUCUUGAAUUUAAAACUUAGUCAAUUCAUGUUCUUUCCAGUCUACUACUGAAAAUGUUGUUGAACAUGAAGACAGUAAAUGUUCCUUUGAGUGCAGCCUUGGCAGAAUUUUUUUGAUGUUUAUGGACACUCUUCUAUUUAUUGUCAUUUUUCAAUAGUUUGCAACUGAAAUUCUGACCUUCUUUUGAGUUGAGUUAUUAAAUUGCUCAAUUUUUCUGAA